UGCAUCGGCCGGGAAUCGAACCCGGGCCGUCCGCGUGGCAGACGAGCAUUCUACCACUGAACCACCGAUGC
rnacentral:tRNA from 1 species